GGAAACGACUGCUAAUACCCAAUAUGCAGGAAUGUGAAAUAAAUUUUGCCUGAAGAGGAGCUCGCGUCCGAUUAGUUAGUUGGUGAGGUAAGAGCUUACCAAGGCGGCGAUCGGUAGCUGGUCUGAGAGGAUGAGCAGCCACACUGGGACUGAGACACGGCCCAGACUCCUACGGGAGGCAGCAGUGGGGAAUUUUCCGCAAUGGGCGAAAGCCUGACGGAGCAAUACCGCGUGAGGGAGGAAGGCUUUUGGGUUGUAAACCUCUUUUAUUAAGGAAGAAGAAAGUGACGGUACUUAAAGAAUCAGCAUCGGCUAACUCCGUGCCAGCAGCCGCGGUAAUACGGAGGAUGCAAGCGUUAUCCGGAAUCAUUGGGCGUAAAGCGUCCGCAGGUGGCGAUUCAAGUCUGCUGUUAAAGACAGAAGCUUAACUUCUGAAAAGCGGUGGAAACUGGAUAGCUAGAGUACGGUAGGGGUUGAGGGAAUUCCCAGUGUAGCGGUGAAAUGCGUAGAUAUUGGGAAGAACACCAGUGGCGAAGGCGCUCAACUGGGCCGUAACUGACACUCAGGGACGAAAGCU
rnacentral:rRNA from 1 species